rnacentral:rRNA from 1 species
UCGACCUCAAAUCAGGUAGGACUACCCGCUGAACUUAAGCAUAUCAAUAAGCGGAGGAAAAGAACCAACAGGGAUUGCUUAGUAGCGGCGAGUGAAGCGGCAAAGC